UACGUAGGUGGCAAGCGUUGUCCGGAUUUACUGGGUGUAAAGGGCGUGCAGCCGGAGAGACAAGUCAGAUGUGAAAUCCACGGGCUCAACCCGUGAACUGCAUUUGAAACUGUUUCCCUUGAGUGUCGGAGAGGUAAUCGGAAUUCCUUGUGUAGCGGUGAAAUGCGUAGAUAUAAGGAAGGACACCAGUGGCGAAGGCGGAUUACUGGACGAUAACUGACGGUGAGGCGCGAAAGCGUGGGGAGCAAACAGG
rnacentral:rRNA from 1 species